ACCCGUUGGUAAACGUGGUCGUUAUCGUGGCAAGGGAGUUAGUCCUUCUAUUACAUCAUUAUAUGGGACAUUUAGUGAAGGUGAAUAGUUACGCAAAGAAGCCGACAAGGCAAAUAAUGAGGCAAUGGAGGCUAAAUAAGAGGUAAAGGAAAUAAAUGUGAAAAAUUAAGGCUUGACUAAAAAGAUGAGAGGGCUUCAGAAGGAAAUGGAGGUUAUGAAAGGCUCCAUGGGAAAUAUUUUUAACCAUCUAGGCUGUCUAAAACAAAUAUGGAUGAGGUUAAUGAUGAUGUGGAUGAAGAUGAAGAUGAGGAUGAGGAUGAUGAUGAUGAUGAGGAUGGAGAGGAUGAUGAAAUGGAAGAAUAUGGAGAGGAGUAGUACUAUUUUUUAUAUUCAUUAGUGAAGCUAUUGUUGUCUGGUGAAGCUAUUGCUGCCCCCUAUGAAGAUAAAUGAUGUGAUGUAGUUGCUGCUUUGGUCGCUCCAAAAUCAUCAAUUUACAAUUUUUUUUUACCACAGUCCCUUCGUGAAAGUUAUAGAUCUGGAAAAGUUACCAAAUCUAGACUAAAAAAUUUCUCAAUUAGGAUAUGUAUGCUAAGGGUUAUGCCUUAUGCUAAGAGGAUGAUCAAAUUAUGUAAUGACUAUUAAUUUAUUAAUAAUAUCAUUUUUUAUUUAUUUGUUGAAAUCAGCUAUGUUCAUCAUGAUAUUUUUUUUAUUUACGGCCUCACGUGACCUUAGAAAAGUGGGAUGAAGACCGUAACCUUAGUAACUCAGUGCUCUAUACGGGGGAAACGAAAGCAGAAUUCGUUAUGAGAAUGAUCGACUCUGUUAUGUUAGAAGGUGCAAAAUUUUUCAUGAUUUUUUUCUUUAUUUUUGUAUUAAUUGCCCUUUACUACCUUUUUCGCUUUUUUUUCCAACCAACACGAGAUUUGAUGGCCCAGCCACCUAUCUUCUUUAUUCUUCUCACAGCCAUGGGGCUGGGUUGGCUGGUUUGGGAAAUCAAACAAACCAAGUUUAUGGUGCGCUUUCUUCGAACGGGUUUCAAGCAGUGCCCUCAGACUCAUUCUUUAUUGGAAAGAAUUAUUUGGUACAGAACUGUUUUAGUUGUUACAUGGAGGCUGCAUCGUCUAGUGCGGCUUCAUGAUAAAG